rnacentral:misc_RNA from 1 species
AAAAUAUGAAAAUACUUAUAUAUGUAUAACAUAAAUACAUAUCAUUAGUUUAAUGUUCAAUCAAAUAUUGAAAAAUUUUCUUAGAAAAUAAUUUUCAUGGAGGGCAUUUUACAUAUAUUACAUUAUUUAUUAUUAUUUAUGGAACAACGGAAGCAGAGGUAAAAUUCAGCCUGCUGCUGGUUCUGGACCAAUGUUACCUAAAACAUUGCCCCUCCCUCCGAAGUGUUCCAGAACGUAAAAAUGGCAUAUUCAAAUUUGAUCCCUUUCAUAUAUAGAAGUUAUCUUAAAAUUCUACAUCUUUAUCCAUAAACUUUAUUUAAUUAAAAUUGGUUUUUAAUUUGAAAUUUUCCUAUUUAAAUUGCACUCUAUUACUUAAAUUUUAAAAUUUUAAUUACAUUUUAAUUGGUUAAAAUUUCUAAAAAACAUUAAACAUUCGAUAAAUAUAUCUAUCUCUGUUAAAAAAAAGCCGCUAUAUAUAGUGUGGAUCCUAAUUAGUAUAAUUCUGUGUACUGGGACACUAAACAGUGUUCCAAUUAAGCCUAUUCCUUGGGUAUUAUAUACCUAGGAAAGUACUGUAUCCUAUGUCCAUAUUUGUCCCGCGAACCAAAGCAAACUACAAAUUAGGUAACACUGUUCUGGACAAGUAUGUAUGUGAGGCUGCAGGCCGUUUAUCUUUGUACACUAAAAUUAGUCUCUUUACAAAAUAGAAGUAAGGCUGUAUAUAUCAAUUUUUCCUAGAGCUCCACAAUUAUGAGACACUUUGUGCACUGAAUCGCCCUUUGACAUGUUAUUACAAUUGUUACUGUGAUGUUUCUCUAGAGCUUGUGAUUGAGUUAUUGAUCUUGACUAUUAAUGUUUAUUUUAUCUUGUGUCCAAAUUAAACAGGCCAAACAUUAUCUUGAAGGGCAUGAUUGAAUUAUUCUUUGAGCAUACCCAUUACUUUGCACUUUUUGGGAAUGUUGACUUUAGCUUAUUUUCAAUUUUUUGUUUAAAUUAAUCUAGAAAUUUCAGUUGUACCUCAAUUUAGUUCAAAUUAAAAUUGCUAAGCUAAAUGUUUUAGUUUCUUGAUUUAGAUUAAAAUUAAAAAGUUU